rnacentral:rRNA from 1 species
AUUAGAGUUUGAUCCUGGCUCAGGACGAACGCUGGCGGCAGGCUUAACACAUGCAAGUCGAGCGCCCCGCAAGGGGAGCGGCAGACGGGUGAGUAACGCGUGGGAAUCUACCUAGUGGUACGGAACAACACAGGGAAACUUGUGCUAAUACCGUAUAAGUCCUUCGGGAGAAAGAUUUAUCGCCAUUAGAUGAGCCCGCGUCGGAUUAGCUAGUUGGUGGGGUAACGGCCCACCAAGGCGACGAUCCGUAGCUGGUCUGAGAGGAUGAUCAGCCACACUGGGACUGAGACACGGCCCAGACUCCUACGGGAGGCAGCAGUGGGGAAUAUUGGACAAUGGGCGCAAGCCUGAUCCAGCCAUGCCGCGUGAGUGAUGAAGGCCUUAGGGUUGUAAAGCUCUUUCGGCGGGGAAGAUAAUGACGGUACCCGCAGAAGAAGCCCCGGCUAACUUCGUGCCAGCAGCCGCGGUAAUACGAAGGGGGCUAGCGUUGUUCGGAAUCACUGGGCGUAAAGCGCACGUAGGCGGAUUGUUAAGUCGGAGGUGAAAUCCCAGGGCUCAACCCUGGAACUGCCUUCGAUACUGGCUAUCUCGAGUCCGGGAGAGGUGAGUGGAACUGCGAGUGUAGAGGUGAAAUUCGUAGAUAUUCGCAAGAACACCAGUGGCGAAGGCGGCUCACUGGCCCGGUACUGACGCUGAGGUGCGAAAAGCGUGGGGGAGCAACAGGAUUAGAUACCCCUGGUAGUCCACGCCGUAAACCGAUGGGUGCCUAGCCGUUGGACAGCUUUGCUGUUCAGUAGGCGCAGUUAAACGCGUUAGCACCCCGCCUGGGGA